UACGGGGGGAGCAAGCGUUGUUCGGAUUUACUGGGCGUAAAGGGCGCGUAGGCGGCGUGACAAGUCACUUGUGAAAUCUCCGGGCUUAACUCGGAACGGUCAAGUGAUACUGUCGUGCUAGAGUACAGAAGGGGCAACUGGAAUUCUCGGUGUAGCGGUGAAAUGCGUAGAUAUCGAGAGGAACACCUGCGGCGAAGGCGGGUUGCUGGGCUGACACUGACGCUGAAACGCGAAAGCUAGGGGAGCGAACGGG
rnacentral:rRNA from 1 species